rnacentral:rRNA from 1 species
UACAGAGGGUGCGAACGUUGUUCGGAAUCACUGGGCAUAAAGCGCUCGUAGGCGGACCUGCAAGUCGGGGGUGAAAGCCCGAGGCUCAACCUCGGAACUGCCUUCGAUACUGCGGGUCUCGAGUCCGGGAGAGGUGAGUGGAAUUCCUAGUGUAGAGGUGAAAUGCGUAGAGAUCGGGAGGAACACCAGAGGCGAAGGCGGCGACCUGGACCGGUACUGACGCUGAGGCGCGAAAGCUAGGGUAGCAAACAGG